GGGUGCUUAGCUCAGGCCGGUAGAGCGUCGCCUUUACACGGCGAAAGUCGGGGGUUCGAUUCCCUCAGCACCCACCA
rnacentral:tRNA from 1 species